CCGCGUCCCGGCCCGGCGCUCCUUCUCCCCCACCUCCGCUUCGGGGCACUCCCCAGCCCCCACCCGCUCUCCGCAGCUGGUAUCCCCAACCGAGGGAUCCCCUUGCCCUCGCGGGCUGUCCGGGGCUGUCCGCCGCACCCCCAAAAUGCGCUCGGGCGGAGACCCUCAUUGGUGCACCGGUCCGGCCGGCACGGCCCCCAACUGCGGGGGUCAGUUCGCCCUCUGCCCCGGGGCAAGGGCACGGGGUCCUUGUCCCAGAGUCCGAGCCAGCUGCUUUCCUCGCCUCAGAGUGGGCGGCAACGGGUCCCCCAGGUGCGGGCCGCGCCUCCCUCCAGCUGUCACCACUCACCUGCUCUUCAAAGGUUGACUUUUGAGUUCGUAAUAGGUUUUGGGCUCUUCGUGAAACUCCUCCCCGACUUCGAAAUCCGGCACGAUCCCCGAUUCCGACUGCAUGGCUCCAGCUUCCCGUCCUCGCACUGUUCCAAAGUGAGAACCGAGCCCGGGGUCGGAGUGGAGGUGGCGGGGCCUGGGUCCCCCGAGCGGUGCGCCCCCAAGCCUUGCAGAGCUCAGCCCGCUGGCCCGCGCGCGGCCGCCCGCCCCGGCGCCGGGAGUUUACACUCGAACCGGGACGGGAGGGGCGGCUGCCCGGCGCCGUCUGGGAUAUGUAGUCACAGCCGGGCCGAGUAUACCCGACUUGCCAGGGGAGCUGCUCGCCACAAAACUACAAUUCCCAGAAGGCUAUGCGAGGGCAGAGGCAACGUGGUAGACACCGCUAGUGCAACUCCUGUUUGGAUUCAUUGUCAAUGUCAGCAGCUCCUCUCCCUUCUCUCUCUCCACUAGCUUCAAGGGUACAGACUUGACCACUUAAUAUUAAUAAGAAUGGACUCAGCUGUGUUCUCCUACCAUCACUCCUCCAAGCUCACACAUUCGCGAGGGCACGCCAAGUCCUUGUUAAAAUAUAUAUACAUAUAGUAAAGGGUUUUGGCACUAGAAAGUUUCAGCCUUCAAGUCUCUCUUAAACAGACUUUAUAUUAGGCUACAUGUAUUACAGCGCUGCUGCGGCAAAUCAACCUGUCCUCGAUUUGGAACUGCGUGGAGGAACUUUCCUUCACUCUCUAAGUAAAAUAGUACUGUUCUUGUGCGUCCCUUUCCUGUAACUAACUCAGUCAGGGCUUUUACAAUACUUUUCAUCCAGCUGAAUGACUCUCCUUUAUCGAAUUAGCCACUUCUAAUCCAAAGCGGCACUUGAAAGGUGCAGUUAAUUUUAAAAGGCACAAAGUUACAAAACAGCGUCGUCACUGUCUGCUUUUAAUUUCUCAGUUGGCUGGGACUUCAAAUGAAAUCGUCUUAACUUUACAGGAGUGAAGCUGUAGGGCACAUAAAAUGUACAAGUGUCAACUCCCCCCACCCCCACCACAGCUUCCCGGCACUCAGUUAGGUAACAGAUUAACAGACACUGUUAUGGCUCAUUUGAACUUCCAGUCUUUCCCUCUGAUUAGUUCCAGGAGGGUAUUUUUCUUUCUUUUAAAAGUGUUUGGAG
rnacentral:lncRNA from 1 species